rnacentral:pre_miRNA from 1 species
AGGAGCAACAGCCCUAGUGGCGGGGCCAGCUCUGGAAACCUGGAUUCAGCCCCCGCAGGAACUCCGGAGCUCUCCGUCUGCAGGGCCUGGAUGCUCCAGGUUUGG